UACGGGGGGGGCAAGCGUUGUUCGGAAUUACUGGGCGUAAAGGGCGCGUAGGCGGCCUGCUAAGUCACACGUGAAAUCCCUCGGCUCAACCGGGGAACUGCGUGUGAUACUGGCGGGCUUGAAUUCGGGAGAGGGAUGUGGAAUUCCAGGUGUAGCGGUGAAAUGCGUAGAUAUCUGGAGGAACACCGGUGGCGAAGGCGGCAUCCUGGACCGAGAUUGACGCUGAGGCGCGAAAGCUAGGGGAGCAAACAGG
rnacentral:rRNA from 1 species